rnacentral:rRNA from 1 species
UAACCGAAAAUUCGGGAUCUACCGUUCUGUCGGUUUGCUAGUCGUGGGUAACUCAGUAAAUGGGGCGUGUGGAGGUGAUAAAUAAGUCGCCCGGGUGUAUAGCUGUUUUUUGAGGAUACAUUGUCGUAGUAGCACACUGGCGAAGAGGUCAGUGUGCCAGUUACAUCAUGGGUCGGGUGCUAUUUAAAGCGGGGUUGAGGUUACCCCCCUUUAGGGAGUGUGUUCAAAUUCAAUAAUUUCUGAGGCGGAUUAGGCCGAUUACUCAAGCACGGCGUAAUUGUUUGGCGUAGUAUAUGAAUUAAUAAGUAAUUAUAAUAGACAUAAUUUUUCUCAAACCCCCACCGACUGUUUAUUAAAAACAUUUUCCUAUGGCGGUUUGUAGGAUCCAGCCUGCCCGGUGUCUGACGUAAACGGCCGCAGUAUUAUGACUGUGCGAAGGUAGCAUAAUUAAUUGCCCCAUAAUUGGGGGCUUGUCUGAAUGGCUACACGUGUGGGGCGCCUUAAAUUAUGUUUUUAGUUGAAUUUAAUGCUACGAGUGCGAAAUCUGUAAGCUUUUAAUAAGACGGAAAGACCCCAGGAUCUUUGUUUUUUGUUUGGGGCGAAUCUGGAUGUUGCAUCAGGUUUAAGACCCGCGGAUUAGAGGUUUAAGUUACCCUGGGGAUAACAGAGUAAUGGUUUAGUAGAGUUCAUAUCGAUUAAACCGCUUGCUACCUCGAUGUUGACUUGGGUCAGGCCGCCGGCGUAGCCGUUGGCGGGUCGGUCUGUU